UGCCGUGGCAACCGCGCGGCCUAGCCUCGCUUUCCGACGCGAUGGAUCCCCGGCCUCCGGCCCCCAACCGACUCGAGUCCACGGCGGCGGCGACGGCUCUGGGCCACUUGGGCAGCGUGGAAAAACAGCUUCAUAAUGAAGGGCUUGUGUUCAACAAGGAAACUGUGCAGCACUUUGAAGAUGCUAUUAAGUCCAUCAAGAAACUGGAAGAGGAGAGGAAACAUACUCUUGAACUGUGGGAAGAGGAGACCAUCAAAAACAGCAAUCUCCGUGUCCAAAUCAAAGGGUUCCCAGAGCUUGUAAUGAAGGAGUUUGAAGAACUCGUGGCUGCUGCUCAUCGCUAUCGUUUUAUCAAGAUAAAUGAGGCUGAGACGUCCAUAAACGAAAUCUCCAAUGCAAUAGAAUCGGCAUAUUCAAAGCAGGCUGUCUCUAAAGACCAAAACGCUCAACUGUGCGAGGAGGAAAAGGAGUUGGCGGCUGAGCAGGAAGAAGCUGUUGAACUGUUGAACGAGAAGAUGGAAGCAAAACAUUUAGUCAACAUUGAGAUAAAUGAGCUUCACAAUUUGAAAAAAUAUGAGCAGGAAGAAAUUGGCAGGCGAGAGAGUGCCAUCCAAGAGCUGAAGCAAAUAAUGGCUCAAGAGGCCUGUGAGUUUAAAGCAAAGAAAGAGUGGCUAUAUGCACAGAUUGAAGAAAUCAGAAGUAGGCUUGCGGCCAAGAGGGCUGAAGGUGCACAGAAGAAGGAAGAAUAUAUAGCAUUGUAUAACGUAUGGAGAGAUAUGCAGAAGGAAAUUGUUGAGCUUCAGAAGCUCCAUAGUUCUCAGAGGGAUGAGCUGACAGACAUUUUCAAGUACAUCAGACAACUAAUUAAAGUAUAUGAAGCAAAAAAGGCAGAGAAGGAGGAUCUCAUCAAAAAAAAGUCUGAUCUUACACAUGAGGCAGCCAAAACGGGUACAGACUUUGAUGAGGAAGCAGAAGCGCUGCGACGACAGCUAGAGGAGGCUGAAGAGAAGCUGGCAACGAUUAAGCGAACCUAUAAAAAUCUAAAAAACGAAAACGAUGCUCUCAGCACACAGUUUAAUAUUUUAUCUGAAGAGGAAGAUCAGGCCUGUGCUCAAAGAGACCAGCUUGCAGAACAAUUUGAGAAGUUGUCCAACAAGCUCACCGAAAAGCUUGACCUCGUGGCAAAGCGCUUAGUGGAGUUGAGAGACAUAGAAGAUGAGACGGAACGCCUGCAGAACAUUUAUGAAUCCUCACAGAUCGGCUAUGACAGAGAGUUAGGAAGUUUAGAGGUACUAUUAAACAAAGAAGCCGAGAGAAGAGAAACGCUUCAGAACCAACUUGCUGAAAUGACGGCCAAGUAUGAGAAAAUUGUGAGUGAUCAGGAAGCGUUACUGGCCACUUCAAAGGAAAAGUCAGACUCUGGUAAAAUGCAGCUUAAUACCAUAACAAAGCAGAAUGAAGAACUCUCGGCAGAACUAUUGAGGACCCAAGACUUGGCCAAGCAACUCGCCAGCAAACUGAUUAAAAGGCAAGCUUACUACAAAAAACAUACUGCCAAAGUGGAGGCGGAAAUCACUAAGCUUGAGAACGAAUAUCAUAAUGUAACAAAACUUACAGCGGAAAAGGAAGAACAACUGAAAGUUAAUAUCCCACUUUCGGAGCAGUUGAGAGUGGAAUUGGAGGAACUAAAUGCUGAAUAUACCAUCCGGAAGGACUUGUAUGAAGAACUCCGGGAAGAAAUGCUCACACUAAAUAAGUGCAUAGACAAGUCAACAAAGGAGACUGCCAAACUCACCAGGCUAAAGUCUUACGCAAAGAACGUAAUAAAGGACAACAGGGAGAAAGCAUUAAAGCAGCUGCAAAGCUUCACACAUUCUCUGAAGUACCUUGAGAGAGACAUCUAUGAGAUUAAUAGGAGGCUGUACAUUUUGAAUGGAGAAAACGACAGAUUAAGAGCAGGCAUUGCCUUUCUCAAAGAAGAUAUCGCUGAAAUCGAAAGUGAGGCAAAACUCUUUCAGUCAGAGAGGCAAGAAACCCAGAAAGCUAUAAAAGAGCUUCAUGGACUUUUUGUCAAGAAGUGGAUAAAGGACACCAAGCUUCAACAGUUUUUCUUGAGGUACCAGAAAGACGUCAUGAUUAUUCUGGAUGAGUACAUAAGGAAGAACCGGAAAAGAAACGACAAGCUUGACUAUGUUUACGACGGGCUGCAGCUAAACUAUAUGGCAAUGGAGUCUCUGUUAGAAAGCAAAUCGGACCCAGGUGACAAGGGGGAGGAAUCUGAACAGUAAUCACAAAGGCCCUGCUACCACAUUUAUCCUUCUUUCUUAUCCUACCUUUCCUGCAGCAGGAAGCCCAAGACUGACAGUACCUAUUUGCGAAUGGUCUCAGAAAUGAAGAGACCGCAAGACCUGUGGACUGAAGUCGGAACACUGAGCUUUAUUCUUCUACAUACCAUUCUUCCAAGACGUGAUGAAAUACUGCACUCAGAAAUAAAAGUUACACUGUUUCCA